UCAAGGAGGGGCUUUGAAUUUUGAGUGUGCUAAUUAUGUAGAGAUUUUCCCACAAUGCAAUGCGCAGAGAAAAAAAAAGGAGAGAAUGUAUGUAAACAAAAAACAAAGGGUGGUAAGACAACCUCUGGGAACAUUUUGAGACAAAUCGAGUGCUUAGAAAAACAUCUUUUUUUUCCUCUUAUUUUCUCCCAGUGGGUCCCCAUUUUGUCGAGGUCACGCAGGCACCGCCAGCAAAUGAACAUGGAUGUAAACAAAGACAGGGUUAUAAUGUUUUAUGAGGAAGGAAAUGUUUACAGGUAUAUAUGUUAGACCUUGAGGACAUAUAGUAUGCUAGUAUUAUGGGGUUUGAAAAGACUUUGAGAGACGGCGGAGAGCUGAAGCAGGUUGAGGGAAAGCGAGUAAAAGAAAAUGAGGAAUACCACUUUCUACCCACUGAGUGCAGUACAACACCAAGAUUGCACUAGAGUAGGGAUGGAGCAUAAAGCCCAUUAACUCUCACUGCAGUUUUCAAUGAGUAAAUAUGAAAAGUCUGAAUCCAGUAUGAGAAUAUCUACAACAACGAAUGACACCUACCGAGUACUCAGCUCAAUGUUGAGUACAAAAAGUCCACAAUCUUUACACAGCCAUACUGACAUUAUUAAACGCACCACAAGGAGUUUUUUAACUGGUUAUGAAACAGUCUCAAUGUAAUACUGAUGCCUCUAUAUGACCUACAUAAACAAACAAGAGAAGAUUGGCAAUUUCUAUACAGUUAUCCUUAAUGCCUGCCAACGGGUCAGAUUCGGUUGGAUUCCCUUUGACAAAGAAACUCACUUUGUUACGGGCACAUUAUUCUGUCUGCAUUGGCAAUUAUUUUUGGCAGCAGACAUAAAUUGUGCACUGCAGAAUCAUUCCAUCAGCUCCCAAGGUAAUUAAAUCUCAUUUUUGCAGUGCAGGAAAUACUUCUGCCUGUGAGGCGACAUUUGAGACUGUAAUGGAAAAUCUAAAUACACUAUAAUACACUAUAUGUAACCUCGUGCUUAUGAACUACUGUGUGUGCAAAAUGUCUAGCUGUUCCAAGGUUGCUCUCAGCACCUGGUAAUUUUCCCACACGAUAAAGACUAACAGUCAACCUGUGGUUACAAUGUCUCUGUUAUUGAGGGAGGAGAGGCUGAACCCGGUGGAGACUGGCUCCAGGCAUCUCCUAUGAAUACAAGGUCAUGAUGCUCGUUAGCAUGACUAGCUGUUACCUACUUUGUACCUCCUGUUUUUGCUUCUUCAGUAAAUGAGGGUGCAGCCCUGAGAAGAGAGACCUUUUCAUGCUGUCAAGCUGAGAGGCUCGCUCUGCGCAGAGCUACACCCGGGGAAAAA